rnacentral:autocatalytically_spliced_intron from 1 species
AACCGCCGUAUACGGAACCGUACGUACGGUGGUGUGGGGGGCGUGAAGGUUAGUCACCUUCCCCUAUCCCAAU